CCUACGGGUGGCAGCAGUGGGGGAUAUUGCACAAUGGGGGGAACCCUGAUGCAGCGACGCCGCGUGGGUGAAGGAGCGUUUCGGCGCGUAAAGCCCUAUCGGCAGGGAAGAAGAUGACGGUACCUUACCAAGAAGCCCCGGCUAACUACGUGCCAGCAGCCGCGGUAAUACGUGGGGGGCCAGCGUUUUCCGGAUUUACUGGGUGAAAAGGGGGCGCUGACGGCAAUGAAAGCCAGGAGUGAAAGCCCGGGGCCCAACCCCGGGACUGCUCUUGGAACUGCAUGGCUGGAGUACAGGAGGGGCAGCGGAAUUCCUAGUGUAGCGGUGAAAUGCGUAGAUAUUAGGAGGAACACCGGUGGCGAAGGCGGCUUGCUGGACGGUAACUGACGUUGAGGCUCGAAAGCGUGGGGAGCAAACAGGAUUAGAUACCCCGGUAGUC
rnacentral:rRNA from 1 species